GGGUAGCAAGACCGCCAGCCAUCUGUAAGACAUGUCUUUAAUGGUUCAAGAUUCCUAGUGUCUGAGCAGGGGCGACUGCUGGAGCUAAAUUGAGAUCUCCUGGCCCUUUUGUUGUCAGCCCAGGAAAUCGAUUUGAAAACUGGCGGUGGGAGAAGAGUUUGAAAUUCAGGGGAUGGGGUAAGGCGGAUACCCCGGAGCGCCGGCUCUCCCCCGGUCGCGCACUCGGAGAGGUCACGGCGCAGUAAAGUUUGGUUUCACGAGCGGGCUCGGACGCUGUUGACAAAAGCAAAGUCUCCCAAGUAAAGCGGCCGCGGGGGUCGGGAGCGCCCGGAAGCCCAGCAGGACACGUUUCCACCGCGGGGAGGGGAUGUACGAAUCGGUCGCGGAGACUCACGCCUCGACCCACUCCCCCAGGACAGCCGGGCAGGGACAGGCUCGGCCGGCGGAGGCGGUGUGCUGGAACUUCUCUGCUGGACUCCUAGACUUCCACAAAUCUCUCUCAUCUCUGUGUGGUUGCCUAACACAGUGUUCUCCAGGGACUUUCAGAGCAUAGCCAAGAGGGACUGGACCUGGUUUAUGAGCCACUGCAGGGUCCACAGCCAGGACUGAGAUCAAGAGAGCCUAGAAGCUAUGACAGCCCAGUAACAGUGAAUACACCUGACACUCAGAUCUUGGUUUCUAAUACCAUUCUUCAACAGAAGGAACCAGGGCUCCUUGGAGAAAUGGCUUAUUCUAGAGCUGGGACAAGGAACACACAUGAUAAUCCGGUAGCAUUUUGUAGUUCCAGAAAGUAAGAAAGUGCUCAAAGAAAUGAAAACCGCAACAAUGAGGUAUGACAAAGCCAAAUGAAAGAGCUCCCAACGGCUACGCUGGAACAAUUUUAGCCACAAGACACAUAAAUUAGUAUUGGAUUAUAACCCAAAUUAUAAAACAAAUGUCUACGAGUCUAUACUGAUAUAAAUAAAUGACUCAAUAAAUAAGAAUAUGUGUGUAUGCAUGACUGGGACAUUGUGCUGUACACAAGAAAUUGACACAUUGUAACUGACUGUACUUCAAUAAAAAAAAAGUAAAUAAGAGAAUUAUAAAUUUUUUGGGCAAGAGCAUUCCAAAUUAUCUGUAUAUGUACUUUGCUCUCAAGGAGGUGGAGAGUAUCUCCCCACCCUUUAAGUGUGGGUUGUGCAUAGUGACUUCCUGGCAAAGAACGCAGUGUGCAAAGGAGGAAGAGAAGAGGAACUUCUCGGUGGAGAAAUCUGACAAACACCACCUUAGCCAGGUGAUCAAGUUCAACACAAACACAAUGAUGGCAUGUUCCCUUGAUAUGAUGUGAUGAGAAUGGUACUUUCCCUCUGUAGUCUUUCUCUCCCAAAGUGCAUAAACUCCAGGCCAAUCAUGAGAAAAACAUCAGACAAACCCCAAAUUGAGGAACAUUCUACAAAACACCAGUACCCCUCAAAACUGUGAAGGUCACUAAAAACAUGGAAGUCUGAGGAGCCUAAGGAGACGUGAUGCCUAAAUGUAGUAUGAUCUUGUGGACGGGAUCCUGGAGCAAACACAAAAGGACAUUAGGUAAAAACUAAGGAAACCAGGAUAAUAAUAGUGUAUCAAUAUUGAUUUUGUAGUUGUGACAAGUGUACUGUGCUAAUGUAAGAUGUGAACAAAAGGGGAAAGUGUGUGGGAGAUAUGCGGAAAUUCUUGUUCUAUUUUUGC